rnacentral:lncRNA from 1 species
UGGGUACCCACCACCCUCAGCGGCCACCCCUGCACCUGCUGCUAGGGCCAACCGGGUCUUAUGGCUCAGAUGGCAUCUACUGCCACAGGCACAACACAGGCUCAGAUGUAGAGCAUGCUCAGCUGUACUGCUCUGCCCAGCCUGCCUUGCAUCAGGUCCCUGCCAGUUCUGCCUCUUCACCCCCCACAGAUGGGGCCCUGCUCCUAUGAGAGCAAGCAGUUCCUGGACUGCUUACCACACUGAGUGGCCUAACCCUAUGCAGGAGCUUCAGCGAGACCCUGAAAAAGUGUGAAUACACUCACGGUCUGAGCUCCCUGCCCUGAAGAGGCCAUGGCUUGCUCUCACCCUCACCCCUCACCAACAGCCGAAUGGAGAUGAGACAGUACUUGGGACUGGGAGUAAGGAGGGUAAUUCUCAUCUCAAAGACUAAUAGAAGACAUAAAUCUUCAAUUUAAAAGUUGACUUUAG